rnacentral:rRNA from 1 species
GAUGAACGCUGGCGGCGUGCUUAACACAUGCAAGUCGAACGGGAAUUCUUUUAUUGCAACUUCGGUCGAUUUAAUUUAAUUCUAGUGGCGGACGGGUGAGUAACGCGUGGGUAACCUGCCUUAUACAGGGGGAUAACAGUCAGAAAUGGCUGCUAAUACCGCAUAAGCGCACAGAGCUGCAUGGCUCAGUGUGAAAAACUCCGGUGGUAUAAGAUGGACCCACGUUGGAUUAGCUGGUUGGUGGGGUAACGGCCCACCAAGGCGACGAUCCAUAGCCGGCCUGAGAGGGUGAACGGGCACAUUGGGACUGAGACACGGCCCAGACUCCUACGGGAGGGAGCAGUGGGGAAUAUUGCACAAUGGGGGAAAACCUGAUGCAGCGACGCCGCGUGAAGGAAGAAGUAUCUCGGUAUGUAAACUUCUAUCAGCAGGGAAGAUAGUGACGGUACCUGACGAAGAAGCCCCGGCUAACUACGUG